CCUGCCUGGUGAAGGACGUCAGGGUGGGGCGAGUGACACCCGACUCCAAGGGGAUAUCCACUGAGGAGAGAGCUGAAGGAGCCAUGCAUCUGGAAGGUGCAGUUGAAAUGCUGUGUCCAGUCUGGGACAGACAGACCUGAGCUGCAUCAAACCUGUAUCUCUGACCAGCUGGAGGCCUUUAGUGAUCAACAACCGCCACUCAUCGCUGGCCUGUGGAUUCAUCUCCUCCACACUCGCGCAACGUGACCUUGGCCUGUGGAUUCAUCUACUCCACACUCACACAACAGGACUUUGGCCUGUGGAUUCAUCUCCUCCACACUCGCGCAACGUGACCUUCUCACCAUCUGUUGCACGUUUGGAUGCACCGAGCGUGUUCCAUCGAGGGUUCCUUCCUCCCCAUAGUGGGAGGGUUCCUUGUCCUUCAAGGCGUCGGGGUUCAGUGUUAGGGACAGAGUUAGGGACAGAUGGCUGCGCUGGAUUCACGAUAUACGCUUUGUGAUCAAAAUGGGUUCGGACAUCGGACAAAACGCUUCCCAAAAUGUUUCAAUGUGCAAACGAUUUUAUAAAAUGUAUACU